UUUCAUACUUCAGGUGAUCUCUGUGUUGAACACAAAUAUUGAAAUACAAAGGCUUUGAUAAUUGAAUCUGAAAAGAAAAAUGGGGGACAAGAAUGAAAAUACUGACAAAGGACUGUUUUCUAGUCUUGCUGGAUAUGCUAUGGGCCAUCACCAUGGAGGCUAUGGGGCACAUCCACCUCAAGGAUAUGGAUAUCCACCACAAGGGUACCCGCCUUCUGGCUAUCCUCCUCACGGUGGAUACUCGCCAGCAGGAUAUCCUCCUCCACCAGGGGCAUACCCGCCACCUGCAUAUCCUCCACAUGGUGGGUAUCCUCCUGCAAGUUAUCCACCCGCCUACUAUCCAGGUCCAUCAGCCUCACAUCAUGGGCAUGCUGGACCUCAUAUAGGAGGGGGCAUGCUAGCUGGAGGUGCAGCAGCAGCAGUAGCUGCAUAUGGGGCUCACCAUCUCAUGCAUAGUCGCCCUCAUGGCCAUUUUGGCCAUCAUGGCCAUUAUGGCCAUCAUGGAAAGUUCAAGCACGGAAAAUUCAAGCACGGGAAGUUUGGAAAACAUGGCAUGUUUGGAAAACACAAGAGAUGGAAGUGAUUCAUUGCCUCAACUAACAAGAUUGCUGCUUUCGGUUCUUGCUUUCUACUUUUUCUGUUGACGAUGAAUUUCUGUUGCAUUUUGGGUGUUUCUUUACUGAUAUUAGUAUGUUAUCAACACUCUCGAUUUGUUUUCGUGUAUAUAUUGUUUUCACUUUAAGUUGAUGACAACUUUCUGCCUGGUGCUAUCCAUAGUAUGUAUUACACAUGAUUAGCUGUUGUUACAAAGGAUUUUUACUGGUGAA
rnacentral:misc_RNA from 1 species